GACGAACGCUGGCGGCGUGCUUAACACAUGCAAGUCGAACGAAGCAAUUUUUGAAAGACCCUUCGGGGCGUGGAAGGGAUUGACUGAGUGGCGGACGGGUGAGUAACGCGUGAGCAACCUACCUACAAGAGGGGGACAACACUCGGAAACGGGUGCUAAUACCGCAUAAGACCACGGCAUCGCAUGGUGUGGUGGUAAAAGAUUAUAUCGUUUGUAGAUGGGCUCGCGUCCCAUUAGGUAGUUGGUGAGGUAACGGCUCACCAAGCCAGCGAUGGGGAGCCGACCUGAGAGAGGGAGCGGCCACACUGGAACUGAGAGACGGUCCAGACUCCUGCGGGAGGCAGCAGUGGGGAAUAUUGGGCAAUGGGCGAAAGCCUGACCCAGCAACGCCGCGUGAGGGAAGAAGGUUUUCGGAUUGUAAACCUCUGUCCUUGGGGACGAACGAAUGACGGUACCCAAGGAGGAAGCACCGGCCAACUACGUGCCAGCAGCCGCCGUAA
rnacentral:rRNA from 1 species